rnacentral:rRNA from 1 species
GCAGCAGCCGCGGUAAUACAGAGGGUGCGAGCGUUAAUCGGAUUUACUGGGCGUAAAGCGUGCGUAGGCGGCUUCUUAAGUCGGAUGUGAAAUCCCUGAGCUUAACUUAGGAAUUGCAUUCGAUACUGGGAAGCUAGAGUAUGGGAGAGGAUGGUAGAAUUCCAGGUGUAGCGGUGAAAUGCGUAGAGAUCUGGAGGAAUACCGAUGGCGAAGGCAGCCAUCUGGCCUAAUACUGACGCUGAGGUACGAAAGCAUGGGGAGCAAACAGGAUUAGAGACCCCCGUAGUCCUGUCUCUUAUACA